rnacentral:rRNA from 1 species
CCCGCCCCUCCUCCCCCACCCCGACCCCCGCGUCGUCCUCUCUGGGCGACUCGGGGGCGAAACCCUAGCCGCCUCGUCAAGGCCCUUCUCCCUGCUCUUCCCUCCCCCGCCGCCGCCGGCGGCCGUCACCGGGCCUGGCCCGCGCGGUGCUGGGCGGCGGCGGGGCGUCCCCUCGCGCCUUCUGCUCUGGCCAAUCCCCCCAUGCAUGCUCCCUGGUCGUCGACCUCGCCCCGAUCCCCUUUUCUGCGGUGGCGUUCCCCCGUCUCUGGCCGUGUUGGAUCCCGUCGGCUGCUCCUGGCGCCGCCCGUUCGCCGGAUCCGGAGCCUGCGGUGGUCCCCGUGGCGGCAUUCUGCUCGAUCCGGCUCCCCGCCGUGGGCCAGGGAGGCGACCCUGCUCCUGCUCAGGCUUGCCGCAACUGUCCCUGUGUCGCCGGAUCCGGUGCUCGGGCGGCUGCUGGCCUUCGAUUCCGGCCGAAUCUGGCCUGUGGGGACGCCGCAGACGCGCUCCUUUCUUUUGGGUGGUGUUCGGUGGUUGGUGAUGCCCCAGGUGAUUGUGGCGGGGAUUCUUGCUGGCGGUGGAGGUGAUGUGCGUGGUGGGUGGAUGCCGGGUCGGCGGCCCCGGGCUGUGUGGACGCCGUCGACUCUGCGGUGAGCGGCGGCCGUGGGUGCUAAUCCAUGACUCCGGCCGUGCGGGCGGCGGGGUUGCGGUGGACGAGUUCUGCAAUGGAGGGGUGCCCCGCCGGUCGGCUCUCCUGCUUCUUACGAAGACCUCCGUUCCUACCUGCUAGAUUGCGCCCCUCUAGUCAUUCUUGUGGCCUUGUGGUCGGAGUGUGGAGCGGGACCGGGGGAAACCCUUGGUCAUCGGCGGCGGCCAGGACAAUGGCGACGCCAUGGAUUGGCGUCGGCUACCUUCUUGGAGGCCUUGUCGAGGUCCCCUCCCUCCCGUCGUCUUGCAUUCUUGUGGCGAAAGCUCCAGCUCCCCUUGAGGACGGUGGCGGCGUUCUGUCGUCGCAUCCCUUCCUGGAGGCACCAUCCGGGGUGCAUGGAAGCAAGGUUGGCGUUUGCUGCAGGUUUGGUUGCGGUUGGUGGCGGCUUUCUGUGCAUCUUCUUCCGCCGGUCUUCGUUGUGCAGUAUUUUUCUUCAGCUCGUGUUUGGAUGUGCGGUUGGCUGUGCUUGUGGCGAGGUCGUGGGAGCGCUGCGGCUGUGGUUUGAGCUCUGGUUCCUCUUGCCUAAGGUGCUCUGUUGGUUUUGUUCAUGCGGCUCUCGGUGAGCUUCCUACCUCCCGACGGUACGACGCCCUUCGAGCCAGGGCGAGAAGAUUGUGGUCCUCUUUGGAGGGGGAAUCAGAUGGCUUGCUAGCAGGUUCUGCCGGAGUAGGCGAUGUGGCGAUGGCCACCGUUGCUGGUGCUGCUGGUUGAUUCUCUCCUGUGGCCGAGCUAGCUGCUGUUCUAGAUGUUAGGCUGUGGUAAUUCAGGCUGAGCUCCUUCUUGUAUCUUUCGCUUGCCUGUAUUGUUGGUUGGCUAUGAGCUGUUGUAGCACUCCGUAUCUUUGUCGUUCCCUGUUUUCCUUUCUUGUAAGUGGUGUAAUCGUGGCCGGUUGAUGGCUUUGUUAAUUCAAAGCCGGGCUAGGUUCGAGCCCAAGGCUCGGCCAUCGCCUCUUCUCUAGAAAAAAGCAUUUCAAGUGUGUAAGAGAGGAGCAAGUGUCGAAUUAAUUCAUUGUGAUCACAAAGGGCAAUAUCUGUCCAUCCACGCUUUGAAGUUGUCUUUCGUUAAGACUACCACUCUUUGUCCAUACCACGUGGAUAUCUUGAUUUUAACAAGACUGUACAAUUCAGGCCUUCAUUCAUGAUAUACUAGAUAAUACCCUGCGCGUU